rnacentral:rRNA from 1 species
AGUGAACGCUGGCGGUAGGCCUAACACAUGCAAGUCGAACGGCAGCACAGUAAGAGCUUGCUCUUACGGGUGGCGAGUGGCGGACGGGUGAGGAAUACAUCGGAAUCUACUUUUUCGUGGGGGAUAACGUAGGGAAACUUACGCUAAUACCGCAUACGACCUACGGGUGAAAGCAGGGGAUCUUCGGACCUUGCGCGAUUGAAUGAGCCGAUGUCGGAUUAGCUAGUUGGCGGGGUAAAGGCCCACCAAGGCGACGAUCCGUAGCUGGUCUGAGAGGAUGAUCAGCCACAGUGGGGGUGAGACACGGUCCAGACUCCUACGGGAGGCAGCAGUGGGGAAUAUUGGACAAUGGGCGCAAGCCUGAUCCAGCCAUACCGCGUGGGUGAAGAAGGCCUUCGGGUUGUAAAGCCCUUUUGUUGGGAAAGAAAAGCAGCAGGUUAAUACCCCGCUGUUCUGACGGUACCCAAAGAAUAAGCACCGGCUAACUUCGUG